AUUGAACGCUGGCGGCAGGCCUAACACAUGCAAGUCGAGCGAGCGGCGGACGGGUGAGUAAUGUAUGAGGAUCUGCCUGAUGAAGGGGGAUAACUACUGGAAACGGUAGCUAAUACCGCAUACCAUCCGAUGAACCCAUAUGGGAUUAGCUGGUAGGGAAGGUAACGGCUUACCUAGGCGACGCGCCCUAGCUGGUCUGAGAGGAUGAUCAGCCACUCUGCGACGGGGACACGGCCCAGCCUCCUCCGGGAGUCAGCAGGGGGGUAGAUUGCACAAUGGGCGCAAUCCUGCUGCAGCCAUGCCGCGUGUAUGAAGAAGUCCUUCGGGUGGUAAAGUACUUUCAUUCGGGAGGCGUGACCGACAGAAGAAGCACCGGCUAACUCCGUGCCAGCAGCCGCGGUAAUAC
rnacentral:rRNA from 1 species